rnacentral:lncRNA from 1 species
AGUAACAAAAUGGUGGUGGUAAGACCUUCCCUAUCAAUAAAAACAUUGAAUGUAAAUGGACUAAAUUCUCUAAUUAAAAGACAUACAGUAAAUGAAUGCCUUUAAAAAUAAUACCCAAAUAUAGGCUGUGUACAAGAAACUCACUUCACCUAUAAAAAUAAAUUGAAGGCCGUUUGCACUAACAUCUGAAACAAGAUAAGGAUGCCCAUUUUCACCACAUUUAUUCAACAUAGUUCUGGAAUUCUCGAUGAGACUAAAGCAAUUAAGCAAUAGAAAGAAAUGAAAGGUAUCUAAAUUGGACAGAAAGACAUCAAAUUAUCCUUGUUUGCAGAUGGUACAAUAUUAUUUUUAUAAUAAACCAGUCUCUACCAAAAACUCUUAGAACUGACAAAUGAAUUCAGCCCAUUUACAAUAGCUACCUAGAAGUCAAUUUCACCAAAGAAGUGAAAUAUUUCUACAAGAAAAACUAUAAAACACUGAUGAAGUAAAUUGAAGCGGACACACACAAAAAAAUGUGAUGAGAUUGAGAACAGAAACCAUUAGAUGUUCCACCCCAAACCACAAACUGUAUCUUUUAUUGAAAUGAACCCAAACUUCUUAAAAUCAAGUUAACAGAACCAAGUCUACAUUUUCCAAAAUUCAUAAUAACAUAGGAACCUCAAUUAAUCUAUAUUGGUGUGAGUAGGCAGUGGAGGAGGUGGCGAUAACGUGGUCCCUGAAAGAGCUCUCCAAAAAUGAGCAAGCUAAAAUUUGAGUGAUAAGAAACAGUCAUCCAUGUGAAUAUCUCAGGAAAAAAACAUUUCAGGCAGUAGAAAAGGCAAUGCAUGACAGUGACUAAAAUGGUUUUUGUACUAAAUUUACCCUGAAAAGUGUACAUGAAAGGAGGUUGCUAACAUUCCUUCUCCAAGAAUUAGAAAGGGAUUUGCCACCAUAUGGCACCAUGGCAUAUGUUACUUAUCACUAUGAAUAGAAAUUGGCAAAUAUUAAACAUCCUACAAGAAUUUCAGCACAAUCCAGAUCUUCUUAGAAGCAUUCAUUAGCCAAUUAGCCUAAUGAAAUGCAAAUAUUGUGUAAUUAAUUAAGGAAAUCUUUCCUAUCUUUUUAAGUCUGGUUCAGGUCAUACCAUCUAUUCUCCACACCCAAUUCCUAUGAUAUUUAUAACCCAUAGGUGUAGAUAAUCUAUCCUUUCUAUGCUAUUUUAUUAUAUUUUCCUCACAUUUCAACCAUAUGUUUGCCAUUACUUGCCAUAGAAUGUAGUUACUACGCACAUCUCUAUCUCUCUCCAUAGUUUCCAGGCUCCUAGAAUACAACUUUGAAUUCAUCAUUCCACUUAACCGUUGUAAUUAUCACUAUGUUUUGAUUAUAAUAAGCAUUCAAAAAUAUUUGUUAAGCCAAAAUAUUGAUGUUAUUUUGGAAGUUGUAAGAGGAAUUAAUCACUGUACAGCUUCAAAAGUAAACCCUGUCCAGGAGUCAUUUUCUGGUGGAAAAUUAAAGUUAAGGCCUUUAAAAUUUUUUUUUAUUAUAAUAUAAUUGUAGAUUCACAUAUAGUUAUAAGAAAUAAAACAGAGAUAGCCCAUGGACACUUCAUGCAGUUUCCCCCAAUGGUAUCAGUUGCAAAACUGUAGCACAGCAUCUCAACUAGGAUCUUAAUACUGAUACAGAACAAGUUCCAACCCCACAGGGAUUCUUUUUCCUGUUGCUCUUUUAUAACCACACCCGUUACCCUCCGACUACCUCUUUAUCCCCUGACAAAUCCCCGACAGUAGUUUAUUAUAAUUUCUAUAAGUUUUUCAUUUCUAAAAAGUUACAUAAAUGGAGUUUUAUAGACCAUAACCUUUUAAAAUGAAUUUCAACUUUUAUUUUAGAUACAAGGGUUUCAUGAGCAGGUUACUGUAUGGAAAUAUUGCGUGAUGCUGAGGUUAGGGGUAUGGAUCCCAUCACCCAGGUAGUGAGCUGUAUUAGUCCAUUCUCACACUGCUAUA